rnacentral:rRNA from 1 species
AUUGAACGCUGGCGGCAUGCCUUACACAUGCAAGUCGAACGGUAACGGGCCUUCGGGUGCCGACGAGUGGCGAACGGGCGAGUAAUACAUCGGAACGUGCCCGAUCGUGGGGGAUAACGAGGCGAAAGCUUUGCUAAUACCGCAUACGAUCUACGGAUGAAAGCAGGGGACGGCAAGGCCUUGCGCGGACGGAGCGGCCGAUGGCAGAUUCGGUAGUUGGUGGGAUAAAAGCUUACCAAGCCGACGAUCUGUAGCUGGUCUGAGAGGAUGAUCAGCCACACUGGGACUGCGACACGGCCCAGACUCCUACGGGAGGCAGCAGUGGGGAAUUUUGGACAAUGGGCGCAAGCCUGAUCCAGCCAUGCCGCGUGCAGGAUGAAGGCCUUCGGGUUGUAAACUGCUUUUGUACGGAACGAAAAGCCUUCUUUUAAUACAGGAGGGUCAUGACGGUACCGUAAGAAUAAGCACCGGCUAACUACGUG